GACGAACGCUGGCGGCGUGCUUAAUACAUGCAAGUCGAACGGAAAGGCCCUGCGUUUGUGGGGUGCUCGAGUGGCGAACGGGGGAGUAACACGUGAGUAAAAUGCCCUUGACUGAGGGAUAACUCCAGGAAACUGGGGCUAAUACAGGAUAGGAGCUCCUGCUGCACGGGGGGGGUAGGAGAGUUUCGGCGGUUGGGGAUGGACUCGCGGCUUAUCAGCUUGUUGGUGGGGUAGUGGCGUACCAAGGCUUCGACGGGUAGCCGGCCUGGGAGGGUGACCGGCCACCUUGGGACUGCGAUACGGCCCAGACUCCAACGGGAGGCAGCAGUGGGGAAUAUUGCGCAGUGGGCGGAAGCCUGUUGCGGCAGCCCCGCGUGCGGGAUGACGGCCUUCUGGUUGUAAACCGCUUUCGCCUGUGCCGAAGCGUGAGUGACGGUACUUGGUAAAGAAGCACCGGCUAACUACGUG
rnacentral:rRNA from 1 species